CCUACGGGCGGCAGCAGUGGGGAAUAUUGCACAAUGGGCGCAAGCCUGAUGCAGCCAUGCCGCGUGUGUGAAGAAGGCCUUCGGGCUGUAAAGCACUUUCAGCGGGGAGGAAGGCGGUGAGGUUAAUAACCUCAUCGAUUGACGUUACCCGCAGAAGAAGCACCGGCUAACUCCGUGCCAGCAGCCGCGGUAAUACGGAGGGUGCAAGCGUUAAUCGGAAUUACUGGGCGUAAAGCGCACGCAGGCGGUCUGUCAAGUCGGAUGUGAAAUCCCCGGGCUCAACCUGGGAACUGCAUUCGAAACUGGCAGGCUAGAGUCUUGUAGAGGGGGGUAGAAUUCCAGGUGUAGCGGUGAAAUGCGUAGAGAUCUGGAGGAAUACCGGUGGCGAAGGCGGCCCCCUGGACAAAGACUGACGCUCAGGUGCGAAAGCGUGGGGAGCAAACAGGAUUAGAUACCCUAGUAGUC
rnacentral:rRNA from 1 species